GGGUUGUGACCGUGGCGGCAUGUUAGUGGUUAUGGAUGUGGUUUCUUCGUCAGGCUCCCUGCUUUUUGGCGGCCAACUGACGAAUACCGUGUCCCUUUUAAACCUAUGCGUCAUAGUUUGCUAGGUUUAGUGUUGCCCUCGUGGAAAAUUGAUCCAGUUUGGAACCGAAUGUCAAAUGAUGCUAUUUGUAUCGUCCCCUCCUCUUAUCCGGGUGCUUAUGAGGGGCGUGCGAAGUUGGGCAAUUCUUCGGUAGUUGAUUCGAUUCGGGAGUCCGCUUUAAUCGUUAUUGUUCCUAAAAAUGUUGCGGAUGUUGGGCAUGGUUGAUAUUUUGGGGGAAGUGUUCCGCUGAUUAUGUGACUCGGUUUUGUCCGCGCUUUUGAAAGACGCCUACACGGGAUCGUUGUGCCCCCCUUCUUUUUUGAAGGAGAGCAAAUGUCGGUGUGUAGGGCGCCUAAGAGGACGUGCUACCUGGUUGAUCCUGCCAGUAGUC
rnacentral:misc_RNA from 1 species